rnacentral:rRNA from 1 species
UACGUAGGGUGCGAGCGUUGUCCGGAAUUAUUGGGCGUAAAGAGCUCGUAGGCGGUUUGUCACGUCUGCUGUGAAAUCCCGAGGCUCAACCUCGGGCCUGCAGUGGGUACGGGCAGACUGGAGUGCGGUAGGGGAGAAUGGAAUUCCUGGUGUAGCGGUGGAAUGCGCAGAUAUCAGGAGGAACACCCGUGGCUAAGGCGGUUCUCUAGUACGGUACUGACGCUGAGACGCGAAAGCGUGGGGAGCGAACAGG